CAGGUUCUGAGGGACAGGAAGAGGAAAUGAUGUCAUCAGUAGGCAGGUUCUGAGGGACAGGAAGAGGAAAUGAUGUCAUCGGUAGGCAGGUUCUGAGGGACAGGAAGAGGAAAUGAUGUCAUCGGUAGGCAGGUUCUGAGGGACAGGAAGAGGAAAUGAUGUCAUCAGUAGGCAGGUUCUGAGGGACAGGAAGAGGAAAUGAUGUCAUAGGG